UACGAAGGGGGCUAGCGUUGUUCGGAAUUACUGGGCGUAAAGCGCACGUAGGCGGAUGUUUAAGUUAGGGGUGAAAUUCCCGGGCUCAACCUGGGGGCUGCGUUUGAUACGUGCGGGCUUGAGUUCGGAAGAGGGUCGUGGAAUUCCCAGUGUAGAGGUGAAAUUCGUAGAUAUUGGGAAGAACACCGGUGGCGAAGGCGGCGACCUGGUCCGAUACUGACGCUGAGGCGCGAAAGCGUGGGGAGCAAACAGG
rnacentral:rRNA from 1 species